CGGGGUGAUGUCGGGAAAGGACAUUUUCCUAUCGUUAAAGGACGUGGUUGAUGGCUGGAAAGGACAUUUUCCCUUCGUUAAAGGUUCUCACUGAAGGGGAUAAUUCUCACUGAAACUACAGAAUAAAGCCGCCAGUUAAAAUCAUGGAACGGUUGUGCUCGUGGUUACUGAAGGGAGCUACAAGACCAUUAUUCGUUUCGAAUUCACCAACUCAAAGACGCUUGCCCGCUCCAUCAUAACUCCGUAAGUUUUCCCUCCCUGUGUAGAUCAAACGUCCUGCCUGUAAAUCCUGGGUAUGCCCACAUCAUUAAUGAAUAAGAUGUGUAGAAAACUGUUUAGCCAUAGUUAAAGGCCUUUCAUAAAGCAGCUGUCAUGAUUGCAUGUCCCUUAUGUUUAACACGUAUUGCUUGUUACAGAAUACUACUGUUGUACAUUUAAUAUCCCCUAGCAGAUUUCGUUGCCUUUGCACAAAUUCUGUCAUGUUACUGUGGUCUUUUUAAAAGUCAAUAAAAAUGUGUGUAAAGUGGC